rnacentral:ncRNA from 1 species
UUUCAAACAAGGAAGGGCUUACGGUGGAUACCUAGGCACCCAGAGAUGAGGAAGGACAUGGUAAGUGAUGAAAUGCUUCGGGGAGUUGAAAAUGAGCAUAGAUCUGGAGAUUCCCAAAUAGGUUAACCUUUUUAACUUCUGUUGAAUCCAUGGGAAGGCAAGAGACAACCUGGUGAAAUGAAACAUCUUAGUAGCCAGAGGAAUAGAAAGAAAAAGUGAUUCCCAUAGUAGCGGCGAGCGAAAUGGGAGCAACCUAAACCGUGAAAACGGGGUUGUGCGAGAGCACAAUAUCAGCUCUGUGCUUCUAGGCGAAGUGGUUGAGUCCUGCACCCUAGAUGGUGAGAGUCUAGUAGCCAAAAGCAUCAUUGGGUUACGCUCUAACCCGAGUAGCAUGGGGCACAUGGAAUCCCGUGUGAAUCAGCAAGGACCACCUUGCAAGGCUAAAUACUCAUGGGUGACUGAUAGCAAAGUAGUAUCGUGAGGGAAAGGUGAAAAGAACCCCCAUCGGGGAGUGAAAUAGAACAUGAAACC